GUGGGGAAUCUUGCGCAAUGGGCGAAAGCCUGACGCAGCCAUGCCGCGUGAAUGAUGAAGGUCUUAGGAUUGUAAAAUUCUUUCACCGGGGACGAUAAUGACGGUACCCGGAGAAGAAGCUCCGGCUAACUUCGUGCCAGCAGCCGCGGUAAUACGAAGGGGGCUAGCGUUGCUCGGAAUUACUGGGCGUAAAGGGCGCGUAGGCGGACAGCUUAGUCAGAGGUGAAAGCCCAGGGCUCAACCUUGGAAUUGCCUUUGAUCCUGGCUGUCUUGAGUUUGGGAGAGGUGAGUGGAACUCCGAGUGUAGAGGUGAAAUUCGUAGAUAUUCGGAAGAACACCAGUGGCGAAGGCGACUCACUGGCCCAAUACUGACGCUGAGGCGCGAAAGCGUGGGGAGCAAACAGGAUUAGAAACCCUUGUAGUCC
rnacentral:rRNA from 1 species